rnacentral:tRNA from 1 species
GCGUCGAUGGUGUAAUGGUUAGCAUAUACGCUUCCCAAGCGUAUGAUCCGGGUUCGAUUCCCGGUCGUCGCA